GAGGGAAGGGUUAGAAUUUGAGUAGUAUGUUUGUUGAGAGAAAUUAUAGGUUUGUCUGAACCAGAGGAAGGGGAAUCAAGGGAAAUGUGGUUGGUGGUGGUUUUUAAAAUGGAGGUCGAUGGGGUUCAUGUGGUGUUGUGGUUGAUGGGUGUCUUGUGUUUGAUUAGGUUCAAAUUUUGUUAUUGAGUCUGAUUUUGUUAUUAUGUUCAAAUCUUGUGAUGUUUAGGCGAUGGUGUCCAUGAGAAUUUGUAGAUCUGAUUUUUACUUUCUCUUUUGAGUGUUGUUGUUAUUGAGUCUGUUUUUUGUUUUUCUGUUUGUUUUGUUUUUGGUGUUGUUAGUGAGUUGACUGGUGUUGGUAGUGAGGAGAUGGAAGAAGGAUAAUGAUAUGGUGGUGUUGGAUGAAGAGAUGAUGAACAAGAAGAUGAGG
rnacentral:lncRNA from 1 species